GCCAUCUCUCUAGCCCCAGAUUUAUUUUUUAAUUUUAUAUGUAUGAGUGUUUUGCCUGCAUGUGUAUCUUCUUUUGGACUCUGAUUGGAUACCCUGGCAUUCUCCUUUGGCCAUCUUCAGACAACCCCUCUCCCUUUGCAAUCUACCCUAAGCUCGACUCUUGUGAACCUGACCAGCAGACCCAACCUUCCUCUGUAGGUUUAGACAUAUGCAUCAGUGUCUUUAACAUCCAGAAAGGUGUCCUUGCUGGUGUUUGCUCUCACCAUCCCUUACCUCCUCAACUCCGAUAUUUUCUACCUCCACUUCCUGUGCUCCCAGUAACCACUGUGGUAUCUCUGUGCUCCUAGUGACCAUUAUGGUGUGUGGAUGGAUGCUUUGCUUCCAGAAUUAGAGCUACUAUGGUGGCUGGGUUAUUUUUGUUUAUGGGCCCAAAGGCUUCAAGUCCACAACAGUAGGGCAUGGCAGCAGGUGGCCAGAACAGGAGGCUGGUGGAUCAUAUUUUGCUGGUACAUCAGGAAAUGGAGAAAGAGAAGUGGCAGUGGGACGAGGCUAGCCCAUAGGGGCAAAGCCCACACCAGUAAUGCACUUCCUGUUCUAAAAGCUCUAUAACUUCCCCAAACAGCACUACCAACUGGGACCAUGCAGGAGCCUAUGGUAGAGAAAUAUUUAAAUCUAUAAAUUUAUUUCACACCACCAUAUAUGGCUUCUUGCCCCCAUAGGCUUGAGACCAUCUCAUGAUGUAAAAUUAUUUUAGACCAACUUUAAAAGUCCCCAAAGCCUUUAACAGCUUUAAUACUAUUUUAAAGUUCAAAGUCUCUCUUAAGUCUCAAGAUAAUUUCUUGACUCUAACCACAGUAAAAUUAAAACACAACUUAUGUAAUCCUAACAUAGAAUGGUACAGAAUAUACAUUCCCAUUUGAAAAUGGAGGAAAUGGGGCAGAGGGAGGAAAAACUAGGCUUAAGCAAGACUAAAACCCAGCAGGGCAGACACCAAAAUUUGCAGCUUCAUGUUUGGUAUCUGGGGCUUUGGUUUCAAAGGGGCUAGAUGGUUUCACCUCUCCACCUUUGCUGCCCGGAACAUAUAUCUUUCUCUUGGGCUGGUUCCAUCCCCAUAUGUAGCUCUCACAGCUCUGGCAUCUUCAAGAUCUUGUCUCCACUGCAACCCAGGCUUCACUUUGAUAGCGUUAUGCAGUGUCCUCUCACGGCCUUGCAGGGACUCCAGUCCUGCUACACAUAGGCCUCAGUGGCUCUGGAAACCACCAAGGAAGAAUGCACAACUCCCUCAUUCUUGCAUCUUACAAGCCUCCAAAGACAGGAACACAUGGACAACACGGACAUGUCCGUCUAGCCUCUUGGGAUGACCUUUUACCUCCUCCAAUCACACCAGCAGUAAGCUAGUAAGUUUACAGGCACUUUGUAAAAGCAGAAAACCUACUGGAUUCCACUGUAAGUUGAAUGCUGGGUGGGGUCUUGCCCUUGGGGAACCUUUCUUAUUGUUCAAAUAGGGCAGGGAGGCCUCCUCUUACUUAGUUUUAGCAACCACACUGUCUUUCAGCACAGUUUUACUCUGCCUUUAAGCUCCUGUGCUUUUUCCUCUGCAGACUGACUGCAUUUUGCAUUUUCUCCUGUCCCACUUACCUUCUUAACCUAGACCUGAGUUAAGAGUCAUCAGUGGUAGGCCCACCACUGACUCAACAUGUAGAAAUUUCCUGUCCUGAGAUUUCUCUCCAUCAAGGAAAUUAGUACAUGGGCAGAAAGCAACCAGAUUCUUUGCCACUAGUCUAGUUUCCAAUAAAGACAUGUUCUCUCCUAAAAUCUUAUCAGCUGGACCUCUGCACCAUGCUCAGCACUACUAGUAGACUGGCCUCUUAGGACAGCUUUCAAUGCUUUUCUAGUUUACAGUUCCAAAAUCUUACCCAUCCCUCUAAAAAAAACAUGGCCAGGGUCUUCACAGCCAUGACCGAGUUCUCUGAGGCUAGCUUCUGCCUUACUUCCGUCUUGCUGUGAUAUAACACCAGAAGGAAGAGUUUGCUCUGGUUUAUGGUUACGGAGGAUUAGAGUCCAUACUGACCCUCAUAGGCUUGUGUAUUUUAACACGUGGUCCCCUGUGGUUGGUGCUGCAUGGAGGAAUUAUGGAAAUUUUAGGACAAGAAGCCUUACUGGAAGUCCCUUACAGGGGCAGGCCUACCCCACUUCCAGUCUGCUCUCUGUUCUCUGGUGUACCAACAAACUGUGAUCAACCAGCCUUCUGCUGCUCAUCUGUCCAGUUUCAGCUCUAACAUCCUCUCCUCUGAAGAGCCCCUCCUCUCUACCUUCCUCCGAUGAAAAAGGUUUGUCCAGAAAAUUCUAUACAAACCAGGAUCCCAGGUUCCAGAGACCAGGGCUUCUAGCACACAUUCCUUCCUCCUCAGUCCUCAGGACCGAGACUUGCUCUCUCCAUCCUUUCACUAAUUCUGGCUUCCCAUGUCAACAGCAACACACCACAAAAGAUUUCCGCAGUUAGCACACUGCUUUGCCUAGAAUAGUGGUAGAUUUUUCAAACAAAAGCAUACUACUGCUGCUACUACAACAACUACUAUUACUACAACUACUACUAAGGCCAGAGAGGAAGGAGAAGGAGCAGAGUGUGUGGCCUUUCUCCUACUCACUCAUAAACUAGGCACUGUGCAGGGAGAAGUGCCACAUUCCUCUCUGAAAACAUGUUAAGUUUAACGUAGGAACAGGUUAUUUUAUAUACACAUAUAAAUAUUCUACCUUUGUUUGAGGUGCCUAUUUGCUCUGCACAGGGACAUUAUGAAUACAGAACAGUGUUUAUUGUUAAAUAUGGCAUUCUAAAUGGUUUUGAUUCCUGGCAAAGCUCCAAACCAUAAUUAUGAAGGGACUACAGCUGCUGAGAAAUUCCUGUACUACAGGAGGCUUUGAUCCCAAUCUGCCUACCACCCCCAACAUGAAUUUUCACAGGUGUGGCUGCUGCUCAAUGCUGGCACUCUGGAGACAUGGGUCAGAGCUAAACAUAAGUGCUAAGUGUAAGGUGACCAAGAGCUUCUCUCACUUAGACCAUGAGCACAAGAGGAGGCUCUGCUUCCAUUUGCCAUGCUGAGACCCUGUAAUCAAGAGGAUGUCCAAAUGAGUCCAGUAUGGGAGCUAGAAUGCUGUGGCCUCUCACCUUCAGAUUUCCACACACAAUAGGUACCUUGAAUUUUCAACCUCAUUCUCAGUUUCCAGUGAAGUGGAACACCAACCAGCUGUGUAGGAGGACUUCGUUCAGCAGAAAGCCUCGGGCUUCCGAGUCAGGUGGUCAUUUCAUUCCCAUCAAAGGCAAGAGAACUGCUGUCAGAGUCUCUGGGUAAGUGGCUGUUUGGCAAGAAUGGCACUCAGAUUCACCCCAGUGCCUCCUUUAGAGUCAAAAAGACACCUGGGCGUCAUCAUAAACAUCAAGUCACUUCUGAAAUAUAGCAGGAACUGAAGGGCAGACCUAGUCUUCAGCCCCUUCAACUCUUUCCUGCCUGAAAGAGACAGGAAUCAACAUCCAGAAGUCCCUAAAUCCACAACAGAGAAAAAGAGACCUCCGAAAUUCAUGUAAGGACCUCCAAUUUAGCGAAUAAACAGGAGUUUACAACAAACAGAAAAGCCUUUGAUCUUUCAGCAUUAACAGAUACUAUCUAGCACUUGGAUUGGAGAUGGAACCCUGUUUGUGUUUUAAUGCUUGUUUUGUAUUUGUGUUUUAAUGCAGAUGUUCUGUAAGAUGUAGAACCACCCCAUCUUACAGAUGCUGAAACUGAUACCACAGAAUGGUGCCAACUAGGUCAGAAGGGAAGUGACUUCUGACUUCAGGUCUGAUAAUCCACGAAAGACUCCAACACUCUGGAUGACUGUCACAGUGACCAGGGCAGUCUUCACACUAAGGGUCAGGGGUGAUGAACUUUAUGAGUGAGCAGAGUGUCUUGCUAAGACAUUUUACUAAGCUGUGGAGAAAUCAGUGGCUCUUGGUCUCUGAAGACUGAGACUUCUCUUCAGCUGAGACUAUUCUGUCCCCAACCCUCACCAGGGGCUACAGAAACUAAAACAUAGCUCUGCUAGCCUCCUGCUAGACUCUAGGGGACAUGGCCCAUGGAAGCUUCCAGGUUUCGGAGGUUCCAUGGUAGGAAAUAAGGUUGUGGGAGCAUAACAGAACCCUCAACGCUAAAACAAAACAUUGUUCCUAAGUUCUAGAGAGUUAAAAAAGGAAUUUUAAGUUCAGUUUAGCUACCACGCAGCUUUCUGAGUAGAAUGACUAAGCUGCUUUCAGCAGUUCAGAAAACCGAGGAGGCUGUUUUCAGUUACUUAUGACAAGUUCACCCUGCACUUGCUGAGGACUCACAUGAUGGUGACAGGGGUCACUGAAGUUUGUUAAGGGGCCAAAAGAGGCUGGCUUGAGACUAAAACAGAGACUUGAUAUGUGGAGUCCAUGAAUCCUAAAGUCCAGCGAGUCUUCAUUCAUGGCUGCUGGCAAGGGAAACCUGGCAAGGUCACACCUCACGACUGGUUCCAACUGGUUACUCCCAUGAUGACUACACACCCGCACAUUUGUACUCCUUCACACAGAGGGGAUGGGAAUGUAUAGUAUAGCUUUGUACAUGUACAAAAUACAUACUGAUAACUAUUAUCAUAGCUUAAACUAGAAUCAUUUUAGAUUUUGACUUCCAACUCUCUUUUCAUCUUCUUUUUUUUAAAUUAAAAAAAAAAAGAAUUACA